rnacentral:rRNA from 1 species
GGGGGGAAGCGGCGGACGGGGCAGGAGUGCGCGGGCGACCUAUCCGGGGGUCGGGCAUAGCCCGUCGAGAGACGGGGUAAUUCCCGAUGACGUCGCAAGACCAAAGGUCCGCCGCCCCCGGCGGGGCCCGCGCGGUAUUAGCUGGUUGGUGGGGUGACGGCCCACCAAGGCGUAGAUGCCUGGCGGGUGUGAGAGCACGACCCGCGCCACUGGCACUGAGACACUGGCCAGACACCUACGGGUGGCUGCAGUCGAGGAUCUUCGGCAAUGCGCGAAAGCGCGACCGAGCGACGCCGCGUGCGCGAUGAAGGCCCUCGGGUUGUAAAGCGCUGUCGGGGGGGAGAAAGCCGCAAGGUUGAUCUAUCCCCGGAGGAAGCACGGGCUAAGUUCGUGCCAGCAGCCGCGGUAAGACGAACCGUGUGAACGUUG